UACGUAGGGUGCAAGCGUUAAUCGGAAUUACUGGGCGUAAAGCGUGCGCAGGCGGUUAUGCAAGACAGAUGUGAAAUCCCCGGGCUUAACCUGGGAACUGCAUUUGUGACUGCAUAGCUGGAGUACGGUAGAGGGGGAUGGAAUUCCGCGUGUAGCAGUGAAAUGCGUAGAUAUGCGGAGGAACACCGAUGGCGAAGGCAGUCCCCCUGGACCUGUACUGACGCUCAUGCACGAAAGCGUGGGGAGCAAACAGG
rnacentral:rRNA from 1 species